CCUACGGGUGGCAGCAGUGAGGAAUAUUGGUCAAUGGCCGGAAGGCUGAACCAGCCAUGCCGCGUGAAGGUCAGUGCCCUAUGGGCGUUAAACUUCUUUUGUGCGGGAGCAAUAAUGGUCACGUGUGGCCAGACGAGAGUACCGUACGAAUAAGCAUCGGCUAACUCCGUGCCAGCAGCCGCGGUAAUACGGGGGAUGCAAGCGUUAUCCGGAUUUAUUGGGUUUAAAGGGUGCGUAGGCUGUGAGGUAAGUCAGCGGUGAAAUGCCCCCGCUCACCGGGGUGAAGUGCCAUUGCUACUGCCUGGCUGGAAUGCGGAUGCCGUGGGAGGAAUGUGUGGUGUAGCGGUGAAAUGCAUAGAUAUCACACAGAACACCGAUUGCGAAGGCAUCUCACGAAUCCGCGAUUGACGCUGAUGCACGAAAGCGUGGGUAUCAAACAGGAUUAGAUACCCGGGUAGUC
rnacentral:rRNA from 1 species